UGGGGAAUAUUGCACAAUGGACGGAAGUCUGAUGCAGCAACGCCGCGUGCGGGAUGACGGCCUUCGGGUUGUAAACCGCUUUUUCUCAUGACGAAGUUUUUUGACGGUAGUGGGGGAAGAAGCACCGGCUAACUACGUGCCAGCAGCCGCGGUGAUACGUAGGGUGCGAGCGUUGUCCGGAAUUAUUGGGCGUAAAGAGCUUGUAGGCGGUUUGUCGCGUCGAUAGUGCAAACUCAGUGCUUAACGCUGAGCCUGCUGUUGAUACGGGCAGAAUAGAGGAAGGUAGGGGAGAAUGGAAUUCACGGUGGAGCGGUGGAAUGCGCAGAUAUCGGGAGGAACACCGGUGGCGAAGGCGGUUCUCUGGGCCUUUACUGACGCUGAGAAGCGAAAGCGGGGGGAGCGAACAGG
rnacentral:rRNA from 1 species